AAUCAACGCUGGCGGCGCGCCUAACACAUGCAAGUCGAACGAGAAAGUCCGCAAGGAUGAGUAAAGUGGCGUACGGGUGAGUAACACGUGGAUAACCUGCCCUUUAGUGGGGAAUACCGCUGGGAAACCGGCGACAAUACCGCAUAAGCUCGAGAGAGGAAAGCAGCAAUGCGCUGAAGGAGGGGUCCGCGGCCGAUUAGCUAGUUGGCAGGGUAAAGCCUACCAAGGCUGGAUCGGUAGCCGGCCUGAGAGGGCACACGGCCACACUGGCACUGAAACACGGGCCAGACUCCUACGGGAGGCAGCAGUGGGGAAUCUUGCACAAUGGGGGAAACCCUGAUGCAGCGACGCCGCGUGAGCGAUGAAG
rnacentral:rRNA from 1 species